rnacentral:rRNA from 1 species
GACGAACGCUGGCGGCGUGCCUAAUACAUGCAAGUCGAACGAAGAACUUCCGAGUGCUUGCACUUGGAAGAACUUAGUGGCGAACGGGUGAGUAACACGUGGGUAACCUGCCCAUUAGAGGGGGAUAACACUUGGAAACAGGUGCUAAUACCGCAUAGAACUUUUCACUGCAUGGUGAGAAGUGGAAAGACGGCGUAAGCUGUCACUAAUGGAUGGACCCUGCGGUGCAUUAGCUAGUUGGUAAGGUAACGGCUUACCAAGGCGAUGAUGCAUAGCCGACCUGAGAGGGUGAUCGGCCACACUGGGACUGAGACACGGCCCAGACUCCUACGGGAGGCAGCAGUAGGGAAUCUUCCGCAAUGGACGAAAGUCUGACGGAGCAACGCCGCGUGAGUGAAGAAGGUUUCGGAUCGUAAAACUCUGUUGUUAGAAAAGAACAGGUUUGAUAGUAACUGAUCAAGCUAUGACGGUAUCUAACCAGAAAGCCACGGCUAACUACGUGCC